GCAUCGAAAGACCAUACUUCUUCAGCUUGUUUGGAAGAUUUAACCGAUUCUUACUUGUGUAAAAGUGUAAUAACAUGUUUUUUCUGUUAAAUAUUCUCUGUUUAUUUGGAUAAUUCCACAGGAACUGUCAACAGCGGACUUGAAUAGAAGAUGCGCGAGGUCAUAGAAUGGAUUUGCCCGGACUCACACGUCAUCACAGUAUAAAGGAUUUUAAUCUAAAAAGAAACCCUGCACAUUUGCAGCUGUAAGAAUGCAGAUCAUGCCAUAUGCUGUUAGAGUAAAUGAUGAAAGAUGUUCAAACCAGUGUCAAAGAGUCCCAAGUCUGAAAUCAUGGGGCUUUUCUUAAAAGCGAUCAGUGUUUGUUUUCUGUGCAUUAUUGACAUUUGUAGAACUGUUCGGUUUAUGACCAUCUCUCUGACAAUAACUCUGACCUUU